AACGAACGCUGGCGGCAGGCUUAACACAUGCAAGUCGAACGCCCCGCAAGGGGAGUGGCAGACGGGUGAGUAACGCGUGGGAAUCUACCGUGCCCUGCGGAAUAGCUCCGGGAAGCUGGAAUUAAUACCGCAUACGCCCUACGGGGGAAAGAUUUAUCGGGGUAUGAUGAGCCCGCGUUGGAUUAGCUAGUUGGUGGGGUAAAGGCCUACCAAGGCGACGAUCCAUAGCUGGUCGGAGAGGAUGAUCAGCCACAUUGGGACUGAGACACGGCCCAAACUCCUACGGGAGGCAGCAGUGGGGAAUAUUGGACAAUGGGCGCAAGCCUGAUCCAGCCAUGCCGCGUGAGUGAUGAAGGCCUUAGGGUUGUAAAGCUCUUUCACCGAUGAAGAUAAUGACGGCAGUCGGAGAAGAAGCCCCGGCUAACUUCGUGCCAGCCGCCGCCGUAA
rnacentral:rRNA from 1 species